UGAAGAUUUAAUUCAAAAUAAAUUUCAAAACAUCGAUGAUAAAAGUAAAUUUUUUCUCUAUAAAAAACUUAAAAAAGAUUACAAACUAGAAUAUUAUCUAAAUACAUCUAAUUUUCAGAUAAGGAGAUUAAUCACUAAAUUUAGAAUAAGUGAUCACUCCCUCUUGAUUGAAAAGGGGAGAUAUUUUAAAAUCCCAAGAGAGGAACGUCUUUGCCAUAAAUGUAAAAUACUAGAGGAUGAGAAACAUUUUUUACUAUAUUGUGAGUAUAAUAAAACUCUAAGAAAUGACUUUUUUCAUCACAUAUGUACAGAAAAUAAUAACUUUAAUAAUUUA
rnacentral:lncRNA from 1 species